AAAUUUCAACAACGAAUUUUUUGGUUAUGGCAUGGAUGAAGAAGGCAGCAAAAUGGGAUAAGUAAUGUGAAUUGCAGAAUUCAAUGAAUCAUUGAAUCUUUGAACGCACAUUGCGCCCGCCAGUAUUCGGGCGGGCAUGCCUGUUCGAGCGUCAUUUCAACCCUCAAGCCCCCGGGUUUGGUGUUGGGGAUCGGGCUGCGGUUCUGCCGCGUCCCGGCCCCGAAAUCUAGUGGCGGUCUCGCUGCAGCCUCCAUUGCGUAGUAGCUAACACCUCGCAACUGGAACGCGGCGCGGCCAAGCCGUUAAACCCCCAACUUCUGAAUGUGACCUCGGAUCAGGUAGAUACCCGGUUCU
rnacentral:rRNA from 1 species